rnacentral:lncRNA from 1 species
ACCACUGAGAAGAACCUAGCUCCAUCUCCCCUAUUUUUCACAUCAGGUAUUGAUGAUACACAUGGGUAAGAUCCCUUGACUGAUCCAUCUCCUCACCUUCCAGGCUGAAGAGUUCCUAUUCCCUCAACCUCUAUGUAUGAGAGAUGCUUCUGUCCUUUAAUCAUUUUUCUGGCCCUUUGCCUGAUGCUUUUCAGCAGCUUCAUGUCUGCCUUGAAGCUGGGGAGCCUGGAGCAGGACAUGGAACUCCAAACAGAGUAGUAAGGGUGAGAUUAGAAUGUUGUAGAAUGUAGAAUGUCUAGUAGGCAUUGACAUAACCUCCAGAUGUAACAACAUGUGUGCUGCUGUGCUGGUGAUCUCAGUGCCACAAUCAAACCUAGGCUUGAGGGAGAUUUACCAGCAAACCGCAAAGAUUUCAUAAUCGGAACCACAACUACUACUACUGCCUUAUGGAGGCAAUAGCAUAAUUUUGAAAGCUGUACAUGACAACAGUGCUGAGCCAAUGCUGGAAAUACUUCUGAGAGAACACCAAAUAAGCAAGUUGGCGAUGUUGAUCCAUGGAUAUGUUACAGAAUUUACCCCAUUUGGAACAAGAAAAGAGGGAGGAGAUUGUGGCUCCACAGACCUGCAAAAGUGGUGCUCGACAAAGAACAGUCUGAUGUAGGCUAACAAGAAUAAAUCAUGAAGUGGAUGUGAAAGGAAGCA